rnacentral:snoRNA from 1 species
AUCUGUGUGGUCUGUGAUGUGUUUCUGUGUCUGAUUUAAAAACAUGAGGCAUUUCACAGUAUUCGUCACUACCCCUGAGACCACAUCGUG